rnacentral:rRNA from 1 species
UACGUAGGGUGCAAGCGUUAAUCGGAGUUAUUGGGCGUAAAGGGUGCGCAGGCGGAUGUAUAAGUCAGAUGUGAAAUCCCCGGGCUUAACCUGGGAAUUGCGUUUGAAACUAUAUGACUAGAGUGUGAUAGAGGGGAGUGGAAUUCCAUGUGUAGCAGUGAAAUGCGUAGAGAUGUGGAAGAACACCGAUGGCGAAGGCAGCUCCCUGGAUUAACACUGACGCUCAUGCACGAAAGCGUGGGGAGCAAACAGG